CUCAUUGUCACCCUUUCCCCUCUCUCUCAGAUGCUCUCUAUCUAAACCUUAAUCCUCAGGCGCCGUCACCAGCUUAGCCCUCCGUUCUAUGAUGUUUCUUUGUCAUCUCAGACCUAUACUGGCCUCCUACUUGCUAUGGUUCAUCAGUUUCUUAUAUUAUUCAGAAGAUCUCAAGGGACCUAGACGAUCUGGUUUGCACCUUUGAUUUCUUUGCCUUCAGGCUGUUUUCUCGACCAUGAGUAAGAAACAUCUCUUAUUUUGCUAUGGAUCCAUGAUUUUCUAGGUCUAUGUUCUCGUCUCUGUCAUGCUUCCUAACUCUUAUUUUGCUAUGGAUCCAUGAUUUUCUAGGUCUAUGUUCUCGUGUCUGUCAUGCUUCCUAACGAACCCUAAUUAUUUUAUCUCCGAUUAGAUCUGAGACGAAUCGAACAUAUAACAUGUUUUCCUUGAAAAUUUUCUAGUUUUCGACUAAUUUCCCCUUUUUCCUAAACUAGGGUUUACCCUAAGUCAUCUUCUCAAAGGAUUUUCUGAUUUUCAAAUGCUUAAUCGUUUGUUCUUAUGUGAUCUUGACCGAUUUAUGCUAAAGUUACAUAAGCCCUAGUUGAUUCAUGAUUAAAACUCUCACUGUCUUAUGUUUUGCUCCGGUUAUGAGCUUUUCAAAGUUACUAAUCAUACUGGUUCAUUCUGUAUUCUGAUUUACACACUUUUCCUUAGUCAAAUCCGUGCUUUGUGAUUUUUAUCCUAAUUAAUCUCUAUUAGGGUUUUUGAAUUAUUUUUCGUCUAAUUUCCAUGUGUCCCUGAAGUUCUAAUCAGCCUAUUUUGUUUAUGGAAAUUGAUAUAUUGUUUCCAGAAUUAUUGAGUGAUUUGCUUUGUUAACGAUUUCAUGUGCAUGAUUCUUGAUUAUUUCCUUGUUUAUGACUUUAAUUAGUUUUAUUGCCUUAUUUAAAUUGCAUGUAGUAUCUACUGAUUCCAUGCACAAUUAUUUUCUUAAUUAGAUUCCUACUUAUUCACUCUUUCCCUAAAUCUGAUUUUAAUUUCUUUCCUUAAAUAUUUCAUGCACUUACCAUUGGUUAAUUACCUUUAAUAAAUGGAAGACUAUGCUGAUUUUUUUGUGUAAUUGAUUAUGUGAUCUUCCCUUGAAUAACUGAAGUUGAUUCUUUACCUUAUUUUUUCUACUCUUGAACUAAUAUAUAAACUCCUCUAUUUUACUUCUUAAGACACGAACAUCAGUUCAUAACACACAUAUAUAUUCAAACUCUUCUCCUUAUUUGCUACUUGUGCUAUUGUGGGUCUAGCUGGCUGAAAGCCAAGACUAGAUAGUGGAAUUGCACCUGUUUCUUUCAUAUUCUGCAUUUCUCUUACUUGGAUGGUAUGUCUUAGUUAAAUUUUGGAACCUAAACUCUAUGUGUUUUAUUUCAAUGCUAGCUCAUUAGUUAUAGAUUCAACUACAGUUCUUGUUUACUGCCUUACUUAGCAUGUCUCAUCCUGCUUUGUUCAAUAUGUAAUUAGUAUGUACAAACUAUAGUUUUCCAUUUGAUGUUUGUCCAGCAUGUCUAUUCACCCCUGUCUGUUCUCCAUCCCUAAGAAAAUCAUGUUAGUUACCUAAUCUCUAAGGCAUUUGACUGACUUUAGUUAUGUGUUUGAUUCUUUCUAAUGUUUCUUUGCUUCCAACAUGGCUUUAUUACCUACCACCAUGACUAACCGGUUAUUCUAUAAGCUUCUAAGUGUUCUAUACAGGAUGAGCAAGGUAAAGGUUUAGUUAUGAAGAUAUUGGGUUACGAAAAUCCGGGACAAUAAAGCAUGGCGAUUGAAAGCCGAUUGGUUGGACAGGAUGGGCCGACUAAGCUGGAGUGCAUGGCAUGGUCAUACAUUUUGUUGACUAUAUGCCUCCCUAAGACCAAUCAUGUGUUCUCUUUAAUGUAAAUUCUGUG
rnacentral:lncRNA from 1 species